AGGCGAGCAUGUGAAUGUGAGCGAAUCCCAAAAAUAACGUCUCAGUUCGGAUUGUAGUCUGCAACUCGACUACAUGAAGCUGGAAUCGCUAGUAAUCGCGAAUCAGAAUGUCGCGGUGAAUACGUUCCCGGGUCUUGUACACACCGCCCGUCACACCAUGGGAGUCAGUAACGCCCGAAGCCGGUGACCCAACCGAUAAGGGAGGGAGCCGUCGAAGGUGGGACCGAUAACUGGGGUGAAGUCGUAACAAGGUACC
rnacentral:rRNA from 1 species